CCUACGGGUGGCAGCAGUGGGGAAUAUUGGACAAUGGGCGAAAGCCUGAUCCAGCCAUGCCGCGUGUGUGAAGAAGGCCUUCGGGUUGUAAAGCACUUUCAGUGGGGAAGAAAGCCUUGGGGCUAAUACCCUCGAGGAAGGACAUCACCCACAGAAGAAGCACCGGCUAACUCCGUGCCAGCAGCCGCGGUAAUACGGAGGGUGCGAGCGUUAAUCGGAAUUACUGGGCGUAAAGCGCGCGUAGGCGGUCUGAUAAGCCGGUUGUGAAAGCCCCGGGCUCAACCUGGGAACGGCAUCCGGAACGGUCAGGCUAGAGUGCAGGAGAGGAAGGUAGAAUUCCAGGUGUAGCGGUGAAAUGCGUAGAGAUCGGGAGGAAUACCAGUGGCGAAGGCGGCCUUCUGGACUGACACUGACGCUGAGGUGCGAAAGCGUGGGUAGCAAACAGGAUUAGAUACCCGAGUAGUC
rnacentral:rRNA from 1 species